rnacentral:rRNA from 1 species
UACAGAGGGGGCAAGCGUUGUUCGGAAUUACUGGGCGUAAAGGGCGCGUAGGCGGCCUUCUAAGUCAGACGUGAAAUCCCCCGGCUUAACCUGGGAACUGCGUCUGAUACUGGAGGGCUUGAGUAUGGGAGAGGGAUGUAGAAUUCCAGGUGUAGCGGUGAAAUGCGUAGAUAUCUGGAGGAAUACCGGUGGCGAAGGCGGCAUCCUGGACCAUUACUGACGCUGAGGCGCGAAAGCGAGGGGAGCAAACGGG